rnacentral:lncRNA from 1 species
AACCUAAAACUCAUGUUUGAAGCUCACAUAUAGUGGAAUACAAAUCUGCCGAGUUAAGGACUUUUCUGAAUCUCACAAUUUUGGUGGUGUAACCUGCAACAUCAUGUUUGCUGUGAUGGCUGUUUCUAUUUCUGUUUAGAAGGCAUCCCACUGAGAGAUAGUUUCAGUGACAUGAAGAGUGUCAUGUGAAUAAUGCUGUGUGUAUGCAUACAUGUUCGAGUUCUGCUUGACGCCUUAUUAAAUUCAUCACCCAUAUGAUAAAGCAUCAGGAAAUUUAUCUCAACAUGAGGAGUAAGACUGUUUGUUCCUGUGAUUUCCAUUUUUACGGUUUUUUCAUCAUGAUAAUUGAAGUGUGCUUCUUAGAAAAGAGCACACAGUAUCUUUAUGGAAUCGUGUGGUCCUGGCACGGAGAUUCUUGUGCCAAUGCUG